rnacentral:RNase_P_RNA from 2 species
GUUACAAGCCGGGUUAUCGUUUCCGCCACAGGCGGGGAAGGAAAGUCCGGACAGCACAGAGCAAUGCACCGGUGAAUAGCCGGGCCCUGUUUAAAACAGGAAUAGAGAGUGCCACAGAAAAUAACUGUCCCGUACGGGACGAGGGUGAAAACGUGGGGUAAGAGCUCACGGUGUUUAUUAGUAAUAAUAAACACGGGUAAACCUUGCAUGCUGAAAUGCCAUGUAAACCCCGCUGAGGAUUAUCUUUGGGUGAUCCCGGUAAGCUGCUCGUUUACUAUCCCGUCUUUGACGGGGUGGCGGGAAGGGUAGGCAGAUUGAUUCAUUGAGGUAACUCUUUGAACAGAUAAAUGAUAACCGUCCCGCCCCGAGCGGGAUACAGAAUCCGGCUUACAGGCUUGUAACAUUU